GCUGGCCGGCCGGCCCGGCAGGAUUAACGCGCUGGCAGCUGAAAGGAACUUGUACCAGCACCCCGCGUUGCCUAGUCAACACGUUGUACCAUCAGAAGAGUGGUUUUCAGUGGUUCUGCUUCUGCCAACAGCGGCUGAAUGAAGCCUAUCCUCAGGGGCGGAUCUAGAACGGGGCUGCACCCCGGGCUAAGCUGUUGAAUCACGUCCAAAACAGUCUAAUCUUGUCUCCUAAACUUCAUUUUGUUAGGCUAAACACCACAUAUGUUAAAGGGACUCCAUGGUCUCGCCUCGGGCUGCAGUCCGGGCAGCCCGGGCCCUAGAUCCGCCCCUGCCUAUCCUAAUCUUAGGUUAUGGAGUCUGUUUAGCUCAGUUGUGGAUAUUGGUGUAUGUUAAAGCUACCUGAAUUUUAGUCGUCUUCUUCGAUGCAAAUUUGGGUACACGUUUUUACCAAAAUGUAGCUACAUAUAUAGUGUGUGUU
rnacentral:lncRNA from 1 species